AUCAAUAUUGUAUAUAUGCUGACAGAAAGAAAUAUUUAUAGGGCAUUUGCAUUUAUAGUAUUUUAGACAUUUUCUGUUUUUAAAUCAAAAAUAGAUAUUGAAAUGUGACUGACAAGUUCUACCUCCUUUACCCCAGAAAAUAAGAUUCUAAGACCAAUUUCUUUCCCUUUUUCCCUUAGCUGUUCUUCCUAUUGCUUUUCAUUGGAGUUAUGUGUUCUUUAGUAGACCAAAGCCUGGAUGAGAGAGUGUGGUUCAUUACAGUUGUGCUGUUGUCAGGGCCGAAAAGGCAGUAUUCUGCUAAAGGGUAUUUUCCAUAACAUCAGACCCCGCUUUGCCACUGUGCAUGAAAGAACAGUAACAUGAGAAAGGAUGGCUUUGCAGACUCUCCUUAUUCAAAGCUUAAUGCUCUCCCACCAAGGUUCACGUCUCUCAUUUUGGUAUUCAGGUGUCAACCUUCGACUGCUGGAAAGUGUGUUGUUCAGCUGCUCCCCAACUAUGUAUCAGAAGUGAAAACAGACCUUUUAGCAUGACCAGGGAUGUGCAUUUUGUCAGACCCUCCAAGCAGGCAGAAUGCCAUUUUAAAGUCAGUUAUGCUGAAGGUCUAAAAACUUAAUCCACAAUAUGAAACUUCUGAGAUGUGGAGUACAGAAGUGACAGCAGCAGAUCAUCUCUGAUCCAUCACUGAAUUGUUUGAUAUGCCAAGUAUCCAACUUCAAUGAGAAGAAGCAAGUGAGCCUCAUCAAAUGUUGCUUUGUAGGGCACAUACCUGAAGCAACACAUCUACUGAUGAUGUUGUGCCAGCACAGCCCACCCUUGGGAAAUGGACAGGAAAACAAGAACUUUCAGACCAUUUCCUCCUAAAUUGUAAACAUGCAGCUCCAUAAGCAACGCACCUAAUGAAGCCUGCUUUUCAACAGAUUCAUCUCUCUUCGGUUGGAUUCCCUGGUGUCCAGGAUGAUCUGGUGUAAAUUACCCUGGCUCGAUGAAGCUGAGCAGAUUUACAUCAUCUGAAGACCUUGGCAUGCUGGAGCAGCCUGCUUUUUGAGAUCGUGGCAGUCAGCGAGCCGUUUACAGCGUCUACAGCACGGCUUAGCCUGCACGUGGACUCUUCUGAUCAGCAGAGUCUGGGAGUUUGGAGCCUCUGGAAGCAGCUUGACACGUAAUGUGAAACCUGCAAGUCCUGCCAAUUGCCACGGAAAGGUACAACUAGGAAUUGCUGUGAGCAAGACGUACCCAGGCAGUGGUCUGUGCUGGACAUUUCUUCCCCAUGAGGAGUGGAUUCCUCCUGACAACUGCAGCACUGUGGCCGGGGGGCAGUGAAUCCUGAUGGUCCCAUAACGUGCUGCAGAAGAGGGAUGGGUGGAACCUCCUAAGUGCUGAAAGCUUCAUGGGCUGAAAACCUUUCUGUUCUCCUUCAUGCUGAGCCAUUCAGGGAGGUUCUUCCUCUUCCCUGCCCUGAUCUUGUGCCAAGAGCUAAAACAAUUAUAUUGGGGGUUUGUUCCUUACCUGAGGGCUCAGAAGCUGUGGUUGGCUAGGUAGGAAUAAGUAGCCAUGGACAGGAGCCUGGAAAUCUCUUCAGAAUUGUAGGAAAUUGGUAAUUAUUCAUGCAUAUGACAUUUUAAAACACACUUUUAACCUCCACAAUGGGAAUACAAAUGGAAAAUUGGAAAACAUGACAGUAGUGUACUGGAAAGACUCAAAAACCCCAAGGCAGAGAAAAAACAUGCCAGACUUUCACCUUCCACACUUUUCUCAGCUUUUUUCUGGAUUUGACUCCACAGCUGUUUGGGUCCAGCCAUCCGGCCAGUUCGCUACCCAGAGAAGACUUGGACAUUUGGACUUCCUUCUUUCAGUUUGUUCAAACUUAAAGGAAUAUUUCCUCAAAAGCAGAUAUGGAAGCUUUUUGCCUAAAAAUGAAGAAUUAAUUUCCAAAUUUUAAUUUUCCGGCCAAAUGUAUUAUAAGCAAUUCACCUACUGUGAAUCAUGUAGCCCUUUUUUUCUCACAAAACACGUUAUGAGAAACUCACGCUAUCACGGACUCAAAAAGACCUUUGUUUGUCAUUGAGUCCUGUUUCAGAACUUUCUAUAGCCCUUACAAGAGCUGCUGAGCGUUUCUAAGGGCAGAGACCACACUGCAUCCCAGAAGACAGCACAAGUCAUUCCCUCGUGAAUAUCUUCCUUUAAUAGGUCAACAAUUUUGAUCUGUGCUGGAUGGCAACAAGACAGGGAAAAGGAGCUUACUAGCUUUAAGCGCUGUUUAAAGAAUGUUUAACACACUGUUGGCAAGACACAUUUUAUCAGAGAUCAUCAGGUGUCUUUGUGCUGUUAGAACCCAAAUCCUAUUUCUCUUGCCAUACAACAGCACUUCCAGCCUGAGAGAGUAUUUUGUGAGCCUUAAAUUCAAUUGCUUCUCCUUGGUGUGUUGGGCUGGAGAACAGCCGGAAUCCUGCAGCCUGUGCUGAGCAGCUGCAGGCGUGAUCCUGCUGUCCUUUGUGGCAACAAAGGUGAACUUGUCUAGGAUCAGGUCUUGUUUGAGUAAAGCACCGUACCAUAUCGUAUUAAACUGGCACCCCUGACUGCUUCUGUGAGCUUGGCCAUGUGGAGUUUUCAAUAAAAUGAGAGUAAUUAUUUUAUCAUGUGUAUAAAGAGCUUAUUCAAGGUACAUGCUGCUUAAGCGCUCUCAGUUAUCAUUAACCCCUAAAGGACAACAAAGGUAAUAAUGCAAAAACUGUGGCAUUUAAUAACAGAGCAGAGUGGAGUGAUUUAAAAGCACUAAGCCUCUCUCGCAGCCUUCUGCUGGGGCCAGGAGAAUGAGAAUGCUCACAAUUAGUUAAUGAUUCUUAUAUUACACUUAGACAAAUCUGGAUGCUUGAUAUUUAACUGGAAUGAAUCUAGCAUUCCAGAUUGACUUUACGGUGAUACAUGAGAAGGAGCAGUCAGUUCCAGAUCAAAAAAAGAGGCCAGGUGAAAGACGCUCGCUGUUUCAAACAGCAGGAUAAGGCACCGUGACGCAAGGGGCCUUGGGUGACCCCCUCAGCUGCAGAGGGGCUGGGGAGCAGGUCAACCCGGCGGAUCCAGCAGGGAGCUGGGAGGGUGACCACACAUGGAGGAGCGAUGUGCUCCCAUUGGAUCUUCACCGCAGCAAAAGAACAGGUCACACUUAACAGGCUGUUCUAAAUUUGCGCUGCAGUAACUGAGACCAGACAGUAAAGGUGGGAAGAAACACCUGCUUUCCUGAGCUCUGGCAGUGCUAAGAAACCUUCUUCACAUGGCUGAGAGGUUUGAUCCACAGGGGGCUGCUGGAGCCCAGGUGGAAAAGCAGCAUUAUUUCCCCAGCUGCCUCAUCCCACUCCCCGGCCGCAACUCCCAGCAGGGGCUGCACACAAGAACCACUAAUCCAGUUAACUCAGCCUGCAGUGCCGGCAAGAAAUAUGUAAAGAAGAUUAAAUUCAGCAAUGGGAAGGGACAAGGAAUAAGGGUCAGAAGGUGAACUGAUGGGUCUCUACCCAUUUGGCUGCUCCAGGGUCAGCUUCUCUUUUUUUGUUUCCUCUGGUGUAUCUUUAAUAUUCUCCUGCCUCUCUGAUACAAAUCAUUGAUUCCUGCUCAAGUACUUGGCUCCUAUAAGAUUUCAGAGCAGAGCUGAAGGCUACACGGUUACUGAACAACAAGCAGAACCUGCUUUAUUGCCAAGCAUUUAAUAUCCUAUUUCAAACAGGCUUAGAGGAAAAGUAUGGUAUGAUCCUUCUCCCAACAUCUACAGUGCCUCCAGCAUAAAGAAGGUGAGGAGAUACAUUCAGAGCCAUCAAAUAAGAAGACAUUCUUCUCAUAUUAGUCCCUUUUUCAAACAAAUCUGCACCUGAAAAACUGUUCACAGCCAAACAAGGCCCAAAUUGUUUUCACAGUUAUGUCGAUCACCCCCAAUUUUACUACU